UCUACGGGUGGCAGCAGUGGGGAAUAUUGGGCAAUGGGCGCAAGCCUGACCCAGCAACGCCGCGUGAAGGAAGAAGGCUUUCGGGUUGUAAACUUCUUUUCUCAGGGACGAAGAAAGUGACGGUACCUGAGGAAUAAGCCACGGCUAACUACGUGCAAGCAGCCGCGGUAAUACGUAGGUGGCAAUCGUUAUCCGGAUUUACUGGGUGUAAAGGGCGUGCAGCCGGGAAGAACAGUCAGAUGUGAAAUCCCGCGGCGCAACCGCGGAACUGCAUUUGAAACUGUUUUUCUUGAGUAUCGGAGAGGUAAUCGGAAUUCCUGGUGUAGCGGUGAAAUGCGUAGAUAUUAGGAAGAACACCAGGGGCGAAGGCGGAUUACUGGACGACAACUGACGGUGAGGCGCGAAAGCGUGGGGAGCAAACAGGAUUAGAUACCCGGGUAGUC
rnacentral:rRNA from 1 species